rnacentral:RNase_P_RNA from 1 species
CAGGCCGGUCGGGUGAUCGCGGUGCCGCUGCUGGCGGCAUCGAGGAAAGUCCGCACUCCAUAGGGCAAGAUGCCGGGUAACGCCCGGGGCAGGCAACUGCCGGACAGGGCCACAGAAACAGACCGCCCCUGCGGGGGCAAGGGUGAAAAGGUGGUGUAAGAGACCACCGGCGACCGCAGUAAUGCGGCGGCCAGGCAACCCCCAUCUGGAGCAAGGCCAAGCAGAGGCAAGGCCCGCCGCAGGGCGGGCGGGAGGCGGCUCGUCUCCUUGUUCUCCCCCGUGGAGGACAUUAGCCUUGGGUAGGCCGCACGAGCGGGCCGGUGACGGCCCGCCUAGAGAGAUGAUCGCCCGGAAAGGGAUCGUCCCUGGUGGACGCCCCCUUUUUGACAGAAUGCGGCUUAUAGACCGGCCUGGGCU